rnacentral:rRNA from 1 species
GAUCAUGGCUCAGGAUGAACGCUGGCGGCGUGCCUAACACAUGCAAGUCGAACGGAGUUUGCAGGAAGCUUGCUUUCUGUGAACUUAGUGGCGGACUGGUGAGUAACGCGUGAGCAAUCUGCCGUAAGGAGAGGGAUAACACAGAGAAAUUUGUGCUAAUACCUCAUGAUAUAUCCGAGGGGCAUCCCUUGGAUAUCAAAGGAGCAAUCCGCCUUAUG